rnacentral:rRNA from 1 species
UCUUGGUGAUUCAUGAUAACUUUACGGAUCGCAUGGCCUUGCGCCGGCGACGGUUCAUUCAAAUUUCUGCCCUAUCAACUUUCGAUGGUAAGGUAUUGGCUUACCAUGGUUUCAACGGGUAACGGGGAAUUAGGGUUCGAUUCCGGAGAGGGAGCCUGAGAAACGGCUACCACAUCCAAGGAAGGCAGCAGGCGCGCAAAUUACCCAAUCCCGACACGGGGAGGUAGUGACAAUAAAUACUGAUACAGGGCUCUUUUGGGUCUUGUAAUUGGAAUGAGUACAAUUUAAACCUCUUAACGAGGAACAAUUGGAGGGCAAGUCUGGUGCCAGCAGCCGCGGUAAUUCCAGCUCCAAUAGCGUAUAUUAAAGUUGUUGCAGUUAAAAAGCUCGUAGUUGAACCUUGGGUCUGGCUGGCAGGUCCGCCUCACCGCGUGUACUUGUCCGGCCGGGCCUUCCUUCUGGAGAACCUCAUGCCCUUCACUGGGCGUGUUGGGGACCAGGACUUUUACUUUGAAAAAAUUAGAGUGUUCAAAGCAGGCCUUUGCUCGAAUACGUUAGCAUGGAAUAAUAGAAUAGGACGUGCGGUCCUAUUUUGUUGGUUUCUAGGACCGCCGUAAUGAUUAAUAGGGACAGUCGGGGGCAUCAGUAUUCAAUUGUCAGAGGUGAAAUUCUUGGAUUUAUUGAAGACUAACUACUGCGAAAGCAUUUGCCAAGGAUGUUUUCAUUAAUCAGUGAACGAAAGUUAGGGGAUCGAAGACGAUCAGAUACCGUCGUAGUCUUAACCGUAAACUAUGCCGACUAGGGWUYGGGCGAUGUUCUUUUUCUGACUCGCUCGGCACCUUACGAGAAAUCAAAG